UACGGAGGGUGCGAGCGUUGUCCGGAAUCACUGGGCGUAAAGGGCGCGUAGGCGGCCUGGUAAGUAGGGGGUGAAAUCCUGCGGCUUAACCGCAGGGCUGCCUUCUAAACUGUCAGGCUCGAGCACGGUAGAGGCAGAUGGAAUUCCCGGUGUAGCGGUGGAAUGCGUAGAGAUCGGGAAGAACAUCAGUGGCGAAGGCGGUCUGCUGGGCCGAUACUGACGCUGAGGCACGAAAGCGUGGGGAGCAAACAGG
rnacentral:rRNA from 1 species